GCGUGAGUGAAGAAGGCCUUAGGGUUGUAAAGCUCUUUCACCCGCGAAGAUGAUGACGGUAGCGGGAGAAGAAGCCCCGGCUAACUCCGUGCCAGCAGCCGCGGUAAUACGGAGGGGGCUAGCGUUGUUCGGAAUUACUGGGCGUAAAGAGCACGUAGGCGGUUGAUCAAGUUAGGCGUGAAAGCCCCAGGCUUAACCUGGGAAUUGCGUUUAAUACUGGUCAACUUGAGUCCGGGAGAGGGUGGUGGAAUUCCCAGUGUAGAGGUGAAAUUCGU
rnacentral:rRNA from 1 species